AGAGGAAUCUUUGGAUGCCAAAAUGCUAGACUGUGCAGAAUUCAUGCCCAAACUAGGACAUUCGGCUACCAAAAGUAAGUAAUUUUUUGUUAGUGUUGACCCAUGGUAAUAUUUUGUUUUUGCAGUAAUAUUAACUUACUUCGCACACUGGUUUUUUUAAUUAUCAAAUGCUUUUAGCUAUCGAUAUCUUGAAUGAGAGGGCAGCUGAUAAUGCUUGAUCGAGCUUAUCCACUCACCAGUCCCCGGGUGUUCGAAAGCCGAUUAAAAUAACCCGCGGUUAGCGGUUACUACGUAAU